GUCAAAACCAUGCUUUGGACAUUCACCCAUCAACCGCUUCAAGUGGCGAGUAAUGGACAGAUUUUUACUUGGAAUGGAAAUGCAGGAUGUUGGAUGCCGAAGUUUGGGUAGAUGCUGAUGAUAGGAUGCUCUAAUUAAAUGGUCAAAUUGCUCAAUGAGACAGUGGUUCGUCCCCACAUUCUAUGGUUGUUAUUGCUGGAUGGUGAAUUGGACAAUCCAUGGUACCAUCUGAUUGCCUGGUUCUUGUUGGAUGUGGUUGACCUUCCUGUUGCUCCAUCUUGGGAGAUGUAACUCAUCAUUUAAAAGUGGUUUGGGGUAUGUGGAAGUCGUGUUACAGGGGCGAAGUUUUCUUGGUUGUCAUUCGUUAUCUCUGGAAAAACGUAAUUUUGCUGAACUCGGUCACAAGAAGUUGACAUCGUAAUCGUCGGUGACUUGAUGUGCAUCUCUGGCUUUGGUUAUUUGUGCUAUCGUCAGACUUGGUUGGGGUUCCAGAAAUUAUUGGUUAUCGUUUGCUGGUUGUUUUCCUGUUUUCCGUAUAACAAUGAGUAAGUUUUAUAAAUUUUUCAGUGUGGUUUGAUUUUAAUGAUGAAUUUUUGUGUGGGAAUCUCUCGGAGAAAAAUGACAGACAAACUUUUGCACAUCCUGAUUUUUCAUGCUCUAAACCCACAUUCGUAUACGAAGCUCGCGUUCUAAUAGUUACUUUAU